AUUAAACAAAAAAAAAAAAGAUGAUAGGUUGCGUCGGUAAUUGUGUAGAGGUUAAUUCAGUCACCAGGUAAAGUCAGUCACCAGGUAAAGUCAAGUCACCAGGUAAAUUUAGUCACCAGGUAAAAUCAGUCACCAGGUAAAUUAAGUCACCAGGUAAAAUCAGUCACCAGGUAAAUUAAGUCACCAGGUAAAAUCAGUUACCAGGUAAAUUAAGUCACCAGGUAAAAUCAGUCACCAGGUAAAUUAAGUCACCAGGUAAAAUCAGUCACCAGGUAAAUUAAGUCACCAGGUAAAAUCAGUCACCAGGUAAAUUAAGUCACCAGGUAAAAUCAGUCACCAGGUAAAAUCAGUCACCAGGUAAAUUAAGUCACCAGGUAAUCUCAGGUAUGGAUCACUCUGGUUCACCUAGUCACCAGUAAUUAAGUCGCCAGGUUAGAGGACUUACUUGAUAAAUGAAAGAAGAAAAAAGAAUGAAAGAAAAGUUGGAAAAAAAGUAGUUUGAGAAAGUAUUAUGUAGAAAGUAAGAUGAUGAAGGAAGAAGAGAAAGAAAGAAGGAAGGAAAAAAGAUAGGAAAAACGUGGAGAGAAAAUAAUGGGAGGAAAAUAAGGUUGCAUCAAUAUUUAAGUUCAAAGAAAAUUUAGGAAGGAAAACAAGAAAUAAGGAAAAAAAUGAUAGUUUGUGAUAAUAUAUACAUAAGAAGAAAAAAAAGAGGAAAAGAAAGAAAAUACGAAAAAGAGAAGAAGAAAACAGAGGGAGAGAGAGAGAGGAAAUGAGAUAAUA